UGACUNGAGUGCAGAAGGGGAGAGUGGAAUUCCAUGUGUAGCGGUGAAAUGCGUAGAUAUAUGGAGGANCACCAGUGGCGAAAGCGGCUCUCUGGUCUGUCACUGACGCUGAGGCUCGAAAGCGUGGGUAGCGAACAGGAUUAGAUACCCUGGUAGUCCACGCCGUAAACGAUGAGUGCUAGGUGUUAGGCCCUUUCCGGGGCUUAGUGCCGGAGCUAACGCAAUAAGCACUCCGCCUGGGGAGUACGACCGCAAGGUUGAAACUCAAAGGAAUUGACGGGGGCCCGCACAAGCGGUGGAGCAUGUGGUUUAAUUCGAAGCAACGCGAAGAACCUUACCAGGUCUUGACAUCCCGAUGCUAUUCUUAGAGAUAGGAAGUUACUUCGGUACAUCGGAGACAGGUGGUGCAUGGUUGUCGUCAGCUCGUGUCGUGAGAUGUUGGGUUAAGUCCCGCAACGAGCGCAACCCUUAUUGUUAGUUGCCAUCAUUAAGUUGGGCACUCUAGCGAGACUGCCGGUAAUAAACCGGAGGAAGGUGGGGAUGACGUCAAAUCAUCAUGCCCCUUAUGACCUGGGCUACACACGUGCUACAAUGGUCGGUACAACGAGUUGCGAGCCGGUGACGGCAAGCUAAUCUCUGAAAGCCGAUCUCAGUUCGGAUUGGAGGCUGCUAC
rnacentral:rRNA from 1 species